CAGGCUUCUCCGAGGAAGACGAGGCACAGGGACAAAAGGAAGAAGCCGAAAGGUUUUGGACGCUGUGAGGAAGGGUUGGAGGAGACUUGUGCACCCCUAGAGACAUGCUGCCUCAUGCACCUGGAGCAGCUCCCCUGGGCUCACCGCCUCAGGAUCAUUGAGAGGAAUAUUCAGUACCUGGCCAGACACCUGGAUGAAGAUC